rnacentral:RNase_P_RNA from 1 species
AUGGGAGAGGAAAGUCCGGACAACGCAGGGCGCCGUACUUCUCGAAAGGAAGGCUUGCUUCGGCAUGACAGAAAGUGCUGCAGAAAUUUAUACCGCCGAUGAUGGUUCCUUGAGCCAAACAGGUAAGGGUGAAAAGGCGAGGUAAGAGCUCACCAGCGACGAAGUGAUUUGUCGGCUUUGGUAAACCUUGCGGGUUGCAAGAUCGCAUAGUCUGGCAUUUGAGGAUGGCCCGUCCAAGUCAGUGGGUUGAUUGCAUAGAUAAAUGAUGAAGCGUCCCUUGGGAUGAACAGAAUCCGGCUUAUCAUUCUA